rnacentral:tRNA from 1 species
GAUAUCACGCCGGCGUGAGCGGAUUACUUUGAUGAGGUAAAAAACGAGGGAAAUCCUCUGAUAUCU